rnacentral:rRNA from 1 species
GGUAGAGGAGCGUUGUAUAUGAGAAGAAGCAAAAAGCGUAAGCAAUUGUGGAUUAUAUACAAGUGAGAAUGCUGGCAUGAGUAGCGAAAAGGGAUGUGAGAAUCAUCCCCGUCGAAAGCCCAAGGAUUCCUGAGCAAGGCUCGUCCUCUCAGGGUAAGUCGGGACCUAAGGCGAGGCUGAAAAGCGUAGUCGAUGGACAACAGGUUGAAAAUCCUGUACCGAUACAAUCAGUGAGGAAGUGGGGACGCAGAAGGAUAAUAAGAGCGCCCAGUUGGUGAGGCGUGCAAGCGCAAAGGAUGGGAAGUAGGCAAAUCCGCUUUCCGAG